rnacentral:rRNA from 1 species
GGAGUCUAGCAUGUGCGCGAGUCAUUGGGACAUGACUAAACCUAAAGGCGCAAUGAAAGUGAAGGUCCGCCUUGCGCGGACCCAGGGAGGAUGGGCGGCCGUUGCGGCUGUCGCCCCGCACUCCCGGGGCGUCUCGUUCUCAUUGCGAGAAGAGGCGCACCAAGAGCGUACACGCUGGGACCCGAAAGAUGGUGAACUAUGCCUGGUCAGGACGAAGUCAGGGGAAACCCUGAUGGAGGUCCGUAGCGAUUCUGACGUGCAAAUCGAUCGUCGGAACUGGGUAUAGGGGCGAAAGACUAAUCGAACCAUCUAGUAGCUGGUUCCCUCCGAAGUUUCCCUCAGGAUAGCUGGCGCUCGUCGCGCACGAGUUUCAUCCGGUAAAGCGAAUGAUUAGAGGCAUUGGGGUCGAAACGGCCUCAACCUAUUCUCAAACUUUAAAUGGGUGAGAUCUCCGGCUUGCUCGAACUACUGAAGCCGCGAGACUCGAAUCAGAGUGCCAAGUGGGCCAUUUUUGGUAAGCAGAACUGGCGCUGUGGGAUGAACCAAACGCCGAGUUAAAGCGCCUAAAUCGACGCUUAUGGGAUACCAUGAAAGGCGUUGGUAACUUAAGACAUCAGGACGGUGGCCAUGGAAGUC